rnacentral:rRNA from 1 species
UACGGGGGGGGUAAGCGUUGUUCGGAAUUACUGGGCGUAAAGGGCUCGUAGGCGGCCAACUAAGUCAUACGUGAAAUCCCUCGGCUCAACUGAGGAACUGCCUUUGAAACUGCAAGGCUUGAGGCCGGGAGGGGGUAGCGGAAUUCCCAAUGUAGCGGUGAAAUGCGUAGAUAUUGGGAGGAACACCAGUGGCGAAGGCGGCUACCUGGACCGGUUCUGACGCUGAGGCGCGAAAGCGUGGGUAGCAAACAGG